rnacentral:rRNA from 1 species
AGGACGAACGCUGGCGGCGUGCUUAACACAUGCAAGUCGAACGGUGAAGCCUUUCGGGGUGGAUCAGUGGCGAACGGGUGAGUAACACGUGAGCAAUCUGCCCUUGACUCUGGGAUAACUUCGGGAAACCGUGGCUAAUACCGGAUAUGACGCAUGGUCGCAUGGUCUGUGUGUGGAAAGAUUUAUUGGUCAGGGAUGAGCUCGCGGCCUAUCAGCUUGUUGGUGGGGUAAUGGCCUACCAAGGCGACGACGGGUA